GGCUGUGGCUCAGCGGUAAAAGCAUCUGCUUGGCAUGCAGAGGGUCCCCUGUUCAAUCCCUGGCGGGGCCA
rnacentral:tRNA from 1 species